rnacentral:rRNA from 1 species
GACGAACGAUGGCGGCGUGCCUAAUACAUGCAAGUCGAGCGGACGGAUGGGAGCUUGCUCCCAGACCGUCAGCGGCGGACGGGUGAGUAACACGUGGGCAACCUGCCUGUAAGACUGGGAUAACUCCGGGAAACCGGGGCUAAUACCGGAUAACUCUUUCCCUCACAUGAGGGAAAGCUGAAAGAUGGCAUCUCGCUAUCACUUACAGAUGGGCCCGCGGCGCAUUAGCUAGUUGGUGAGGUAACGGCUCACCAAGGCGACGAUGCGUAGCCGACCUGAGAGGGUGAUCGGCCACACUGGGACUGAGACACGGCCCAGACUCCUACGGGAGGCAGCAGUAGGGAAUCUUCCGCAAUGGACGAAAGUCUGACGGAGCAACGCCGCGUGAGUGAUGAAGGUUUUCGGAUCGUAAAACUCUGUUGUCAGGGAAGAACAAGUACCGGAGUAACUGCCGGUACCUUGACGGUACCUGACCAGAAAGCCACGGCUAACUACGUG